GACGAAGGAUGCAAGCGUUAUCCGGAUUCAUUGGGUUUAAAGGGAGCGUAGGUGGCCUUAUAAGUCAGCGGUGAAAUCUCUGGGCUUAACCCAGAAAUUGCCAUUGAUACUGUAGGGCUUGAGUACAGUUGCUGUGGGCGGAAUAUGACAUGUAGUGGUGAAAUACAUAGAGAUGUCAUAGAACACCGAUUGCGAAGGCAGCUCACAAAACUGUAACUGACACUGAGGCUCGAAAGUGCGGGGAUCAAACAGGAUUAGAAACCCCCGUAGUCC
rnacentral:rRNA from 1 species